rnacentral:lncRNA from 1 species
UUACCCAUCUCUGCUUUAGCAGGCCGUCAGUUACCCAUCUCUGCUUUAGCAGGCCGUCAGUUACCCAUCUCUGCUUUAGCAGGCCGUCAGUUACCCAUCUCUGCUUUAGCAAGUCACUGAUCAAAGAAUGUUCUCCCUUCUACUUUUCUCCCUUCUUCUUUUCUCCCUUCUUCUUUUCUCCCUUCCUUCCAGCUCAUAAAUGAACUGUCAAUGAAACUGGACAUCGUGGUCAUCCUCAACAAAGCUGAAGCUAUAUGCCUGCAGCUGAAGAGUUGUAAGGAUUUGCCCAACUCCGUGGUUGAGAUGCUUGGAUUCAACAGCAGAGACACUGAGUCAUCAUCCCAGUCAGAGGACACUGAGAGAACGGACAGACCAGACUCUCCCGAACCUUCUACACCGUCAGACGACCAGCAGGACUUAGUCUCUGAGUACAACCCCAGCGGCAACAACGGACACUUACGGGACGCAGCGCGUGACGUUUACAAAUUAGCUUACAUAUCGUAG